rnacentral:rRNA from 1 species
UGUUUAAUUGGGGCGAUGACCUUAUCAACAGCCACCUAAGGUGAACAAAGUGAUACAAGGAUCCUAAACUUUUGACCAACUAAUAAGUGCAAAGAUACAUGUUUUGCUUAAUGGCCCGGCAAUUCCUUCCCAGUACUUAAAUGCUGUCUUAGUGAGCUUUAAAUUAAUUUACCCGAGUUAAGCUACUCUACGGAUAACAGGCUUAAUUUCCGCAAAAUUGAAGGUCACAUUAUCACGAAAAAUGUACCUCGAUGUCGGCUUAUCAUCACUAAAAUAGGUAGCUUGAUUAUUGGUGGGAGUGCUCAUCCCGUAAAUUGGUUCGUGAGCUGGGUUCAGAACGAUGUAAAUCAGUUUGGUCUAUAUCUUUAAUUAUAUCACACAAGAAAUGCACUAUUUUCUCAGUACGCAAGGACCAGAAAGAUUAAGC